GGAGUGAGGACUGUCUGCCCUGAAGGAGGGAGAAGAGACAGCACCAUGGUCUGAGCAGUGCUGGGCGGGGUCAGGGGAGCAUGAGAGAUCUCCCGGCUGACCGCUGCCAAACUGAGGCCAUGAUACAAGGGUGGAGAAGGUGCUAGGGCCAUGGGGAAGUGGCCCAAGGAAAUAGAUGGCGGGGGUUGGAGGUGAUGCUGUGUGUGACUGCCAGUCCCUGUCCCCCCCUUUGGCCCCAGUUGCCACUGCUGCAGGUGGCUAGACGUUGGACUGCAGCCUACCACUGAGGAAAGUGGCUGGACAGAGGACUGCUGGCCUCCCGGAAGGUGGGGAGAGACGUGAAUGGGGCAUAGGCGAAGGGCUGUGUCUAGAGGAGGACAGUGCGGUCCUAAGAGUGACACUGGUCCUGAUAGCAGAAGUGAUGGUGGUGAGACGCCACUAGAUGAAAGCACUCUGGCGAACCAGAGCUAAUUCUCAGGACAGCCAGCAGGAGGUGUUGCAGUGAGGGGACGAUUUGACCCUAUUGUGAUAGAGAACACUGUACUCUUAGAAGAAUGAGACGUGACAUCCUAUCAUUAAUUUCGCUAUGAGGAGUUGAACAGAGUCAUUUUUUCAUGGAAGGACCCAAUCCAAACAGUUCUGAACUUUGUGCAGGUUCAGAAACCAAAACAGAGAUCUAGAUCCAAAAUUCCCAGAUGGCCCCUAUGUCUAUAACUCCUGCUGGCAGUGCCUUGAAGCCUACAGGAAGAGGUACUGUCAAGUUUUGGGCGUCCUGUAUUAUAGAACUUCCUCUG